CUAUGGUGUAGAAAAAUCUCCAGGUCCAGACUGAAUGCAGAGCUGAACUCCAGGGUGGAGUGAGAGGAGGCGACACAGCAGUCUAUUCCGACAUUUGGAAAUGUUCUAGAGCAUGCUACAGCAAUCCGGAGGCAGAGACAUGAGGAUGUCUGUCAGUUCAAGACCAGCCUAGCCUACAUACCAAGUCCCAUGCCAGCCCCAAAAGAACACCUCCCUCCCAGACAAAACCAAAGUAAACAACAACACUCCAGAAAACCCAAAACCAACCAACCAAACAAACCCCACAAAUACUCAGCUGUCUCUCCUCAUCAUCCACCCCGAGAAGAGGAUCCUUUCUCUCAAUAAAUCAUAGUAGAGAAAGGUCCAUGUGGUUAUGUUUGACUAUCUGGACAAUCCAGGAUGCUCUCCCCACCUUAAUUUAAUCCAGUUUACAAGCACUCAAAAGGCAGAGACAGGCAAAUCUCUGAGUUUGGGGCAAGUCUGGUCUACAUGGUAAGCUCCAGGCCAGCCAAGGAAAUAAAUCUUUGUGGGAGGAUAAUGAGCGGUUGUAAAGUGUUAAGUCCGGAGGAAACAAAAGACACGAUCUCCUUUCUAAGAAGCAGGAAGGCGAAGACCGCCCUGCAGGCUGCAGUUAGAGUUCUCAAUCGCAUACUGACUCAUUAGCCGCCACCUGAGCAUACAUAGCCUGGGGCGAGGAUGCCUCAAAAGCAAGAUUUUUGAGGAGUGGCACAGGAUCUCUAAUUCUGCUCAUUUCAUUCUCAGGGACCACACCCUGCUGGAUGGGAGGAAGGACUCCAAAGCCUCGGGGCGGAAGCUUUCACGCGGCCACAGACCUGACCAUCUAUGGUCACAAAGCGAACAGAGCAAACAGGAAGUGGGGCUCGAGUGGAAGGUUUCCUCCACCUUCCCAGCCCUAGCCACAGAACCGAGCAAGGGCGGGCUUGCCUAAACGCUCAAAGGCGGGCUAGCUGCGCUCAGCCUCCGUGAAUCCAAUGCUUUCCCGCACCACAGACAGGGAAACCAAGGCUUGUACGCCCGGCGAGGGGUGGAGUUUGGCCUGGAUCCCCUCCGCCAGAGACUGCCUCUCAGAGCCUCCAGCGUUACUGUUGUUCUCUGAGCCGCUUCCGGAGUGAGGUUAGAAAUGGACCAGCCUCCGUCACUGAGCACAAACUGACAGGGGAA
rnacentral:lncRNA from 1 species